rnacentral:rRNA from 1 species
UUUUGGACAAUGGGCGCAAGCCUGAUCCAGCAAUGCCGCGUGAGUGAAGAAGGCCUUCGGGUUGUAAAGCUCUUUUGUCAGAGAAGAAACGGUGAGCUCUAAUACAGUUUGCUAAUGACGGUACCUGAAGAAUAAGCACCGGCUAACUACGUGCCAGCAGCCGCGGUAAUACGUAGGGUGCAAGCGUUACCCGCGAAUUACUGGGCGUAAAGCGUGCGCAGGCGGUUAUGUAAGUCAGAUGUGAAAUCCCCGGGCUCAACCUGGGAAUGGCAUUUGAGACUGCAUGGCUAGAGUGUGUCAGAGGGGGGUAGAAUUCCACGUGUAGCAGUGAAAUGCGUAGAGAUGUGGAGGAAUACCGAUGGCGAAGGCAGCCCCCUGGAUAACACUACGCUCAUCACGAA